CUACGUGCCAGCAGCCGCGGUAAUACGGAAGGUCCAGGCGUUAUCCGGAUUUAUUGGGUUUAAAGGGAGCGUAGGCGGAUUGUUAAGUCAGCGGUUAAAGGGUGUGGCUCAACCAUGCAUUGCCGUUGAAACUGGCGAUCUUGAGUGCAGACAGGGAUGCCGGAAUUCGUGGUGUAGCGGUGAAAUGCUUAGAUAUCACGAAGAACUCCGAUCGCGAAGGCAGGUGUCCGGGCUGCAACUGACGCUGAGGCUCGAAAGUGUGGGUAUCAAACAGGAUUAGAUACCCUGGUAGUCCACACAGUAAACGAUGUAUACUCGCGGUUUGCGAUAGAGUGUAAGCCGCCAAGCGAAAGCAUUAAGUAUACCACCUGGGGAGUACGCCGGCAACGGUGAAACUCAAAGGAAUUGACGGGGGCCCGCACAAGCGGAGGAACAUGUGGUUUAAUUCGAUGAUACGCGAGGAACCUUACCCGGGAU
rnacentral:rRNA from 1 species